rnacentral:lncRNA from 1 species
CUACAGUGAUAUAGUUAUUUUUAGGUGGAGAAAGGAUGGAGUGACAGUUCCCUGUAAUUAUUAUUAUGAAAAAAACAAGACUGAGGUCAACAAUUGCGAGUCUCGGUUUAAAGUAAAUCCAGAACCUUUCGGACUGAUAAUAACUGAUGUAAGAAGAAGUGAUGCUGGUGUUUAUAACUGCAUUACAAUCAAAGUACCACCCCCAAUAGAGGAGAAAUCUUCAGUCCUGGUUCUUGAAGGUAAUUCUUUAUUGUAUCCGUUUAAAGUCAAUAAUGAUAAAUAACAUAUGUUGUAUAGUUCUUUAAGCUCAGUAUGUGUGUGAACUAAGAUCUGGUAUUGUGUACUGAACUCUCCUCUCAGUUCCUGCAGGUCUUACUGUGGAGCAGAUGAACAGCAGUGAUCUCAGCUGUGUGGAUCUGCUCUGUUCUCUGGAGGGUUUGAGUCCAGAGCAGAUAAACUUCACCUGGACCAGAGGAUCUGAGCUCCUUCAUCACCAGAACGUCCCGACCAGCAUGAACAGCUCGCUGCAUCUGUGUAAACCACACUGGACAAACGGAGACACGAUCACCUGCCACGCCGACUACUCCAGCACCCACACACUCUACAGCCAGAACAUCACGAUCACAUGCACUGAAAAAGUCUCCCAUUACUCUUUUCCUGUGAUUAAUGUGAUCCUCUUCUGCAUCUUCGUCAUCAUCAUCUUAGUAAUGUGGAUGCUGUAUUUCAUCUAUUCUCGUAAGCGAGCGAGGGCCUGAGUCACCACCAGAGCCUCAAAAUGAAACUGUGAGCAGAUGUUAGAUGACCAUCACAAUGGACAGAGGGAGAAGUUGUUAUCAGAAUUAACUGGGAAUUUCAACUCUGGGAGCUGAGGACUGCUGGGAUGAAGCAAUGCUGAUCUGGAUGAUUUACUGUGUUGUUUUUUUUUUUAUUUAGUUUGUUUGUAUGUGAUUGGAUGAUCAGUCCUAUAUACAAUACAGCUCUGGAAAAAAAUAAGAAACAACUUUAGUUUAUGAAUCAGUUUCUCUGAUCUUGCUAUUUAUAGGUAUAUGUUUGAGUAAAAUGAACGUUUUUGUUUUAUUCUAUAAACUACAGACAACAUUUCUCCUAAAUUUUAAAUAAACAUGUAAUUUAGAGCA